AGCGAACGCUGGCGGCAGGCUUAACACAUGCAAGUCGAACGCCCCGCAAGGGGAGUGGCAGACGGGUGAAUAACACGUGGGAACGUACCCUUUGGUUCGGAAUAACUUGGGGAAAAUCAAGCAAAAACCGGUAAAGCCCUUAGGGGGAAAGGUUUACUGCCGAAGGAUGGGCCCGAGUCUGAUUAGCUAGUGGGUGAGGUAAUGGCUCCCCAAGGGGACGAUCAGUAGCUGGUCUGAGAGGAUGACCAGCCACACUGGGACUGAGACACGGCCCAGACUCCUACGGGAGGCAGCAGUGGGGAAUAUUGGACAAUGGGGGCAACCCUGAUCCAGCCAUGCCGCGUGAGUGAUGAAGGCCUUAGGGUUGUAAAGCUCUUUUACCCGGGACGAUAAUGACUGUACCGGGAGAAUAAGCCCCGGCUAACUUCGUGCCAGCCGCCGCGGUAA
rnacentral:rRNA from 1 species